rnacentral:rRNA from 1 species
GAUCCUGGCUCAGGACGAACGCUGGCGGCGUGCCUAAUACAUGCAAGUAGAACGCUGAAGGAGGAGCUUGCUUCUCUGGAUGAGUUGCGAACGGGUGAGUAACGCGUAGGUAACCUGCCUGGUAGCGGGGGAUAACUAUUGGAAACGAUAGCUAAUAACCGCAUAAUAGCAGUUAUUGCAUGAUAACUGUUUGAAAGGUGCAAUUGCAUCACUACCAGAUGG